UAUGGUUGCUGAGAAUAGAAGAGUUUCCACACUUUCAAACCUUUCUCCCUGUUCCUGAUACUUGACAUUGUUUGAGGACAAACAAGGAUCUAAGUCUGGGGGAAUUGAUAUAUGAUGUUUUUGACAUCAUUGUGUUAUGGUGUUUUUGACAUCUUUUUAGAGACAUUUCAGGUCUGGAGAAGAUUGAAGAGCUUAAAGAAUAGGCAUGAAGAAAAGAGCAAGGAUUGGAGAUUUCCCCUGAAGAACAAUCCGCGGAGCAGUCUGACGGUCGAUCCUACCAGGAACAGCCAAACGAUUGUUCUCGAUAAUUAUGGAAGUUUCCAUAUCUUCCAAAGAUUUGCCCUAGUUGCUGACUCUCCACUCUGAAGUCUAUGGGCGCCUCCAUAUAAAAGCGACCCCUAUCUAUCUUAUUUCUUUACGCUAGUUUUUUGCAAAAAUGACCUAGACCUAUUCUUGGAUAUUGCUAUUGUAAGGGAGACGGCUCCUCUUCUUGACAGAGAAGAUCAUCCUGAACCCCAUUGUUUUACCUUUGAUUUACAUGCAGUAUUAUUCAGUUAUUAUGUCAUGUUCAUCUUGUGUUAUGGCUGAGUAGUCGUCUAGCUUGUCUAAGGUUCUAUGGUGGUAAACGCAAGGUUACACAUAUAUAAGCACUUAUCGUUUCUUCGGUCAUUCUAGUUCUUAAUGCUAGUUCUAACCUGAUCACUUAUUGCUAGAUCUUAGGUCCGAUCACCCACUAACCGUGUAGUAGUCUACCUGAUAUCGAAUGAAUGAACUGAACAUCUCUAGCCAGCGAAAGUAGAUGCUAGAGUGUUCAGUGAACUUAUCGGACUUGAUCUCUAUAGCUUGCGACCGAUCCUUGAUCCAAACGAUAGUUUAGGCGUCUAGGUCGGACCGCAAAGGGAACAUCACCACGACAGUGGGAUGUUCUACUAAGAGUGAUCCGUGUUCUAGAUCGUGUCUUAACGAGCUUGAAUAAAUGUUUGGCUAAAUUUUAACACUCGAUGAGAAACCCUAGAUCAGCUUAUCCUUAAUAUCAAAUCUAAACCUUUUAAAAAUCUUUUACUUUACUUGCAAGUCACUACUUAAUUCAAAACCCAUUUUAGUUUUAGCUAAGUUGAAAACACAUAAGAAUAAAGUGUAGACUGGUCCUCUGGAUUGAAUCUCAAUUACUACAAUUAUCACUGUUAACUUGACAGUAGGAAAGGUUCAGUUUUAGUGUAUCACUCUUCUGCAAAAAGAUACAAGAUUUACAAUCAACAAAUGAAUACAACAAUAUACAAUAGUCAAAAACAAAACAAAGAUAUGUAUCAUCAUUAAACAUUCAGCUAACUGGGAAUCAUUAUCUUUGAGCUUCUUAAUAAUGAUAUCCGCUAGAUUACGUUGAGGAGGCGCGAUCUUAACAAAGAAUGGCUCAAACAACUUAUCGCCAUCUUAAAAAAAAAGAAAUAUGAUUCUCAUCUUGAUUCACACAAUAAAUAAAAUAUAAGCAUGAAGAGCAAACGAACUUUGUAUCAUCCAAACAUAUUCCAUCUAAAACAAUGAAGGAGACUUCUUUUGUAAUGUUUAACACUGAAACAAAAAAUAAAACGUUGUAGAGAGUAAAGGUGCUCACUUGAUAACUAUCAUAAUCCAACUGUCUAAAAUAAUCAAUGUAUCUGCCUCCUCAAUCAAUUUCUUCUCCUCUCGGCAUUCAAGGCAGAGGAAGCAGACAACAUGGAGGUGAUGGGGUUCCUCUCGGCGCUUUUUUCAUCCACGAUCUGUUUUUUUUUCAGGGUAAGGUCUACUUUCAUGAUCUUCGAGUUUAGUGAAUCAAGUUAUAUGUACAUAUGUUAUAACAAGUAGUGUAUUAUCAAUCAAAAUUACACAUCCAUGUGAUAAUGUUACAUAUCUUAUAUUUUCAACAUAUAUGACAUUAUAAUUUAUAAACCAUAUGAAAAAUGAUCAUGAUAUACAUUGAUGUUUAAUAAUAUUAAAUCAUAUGUGCAUGUAAUAUCAUUACCCACUUGGUGAUUAAUUUAACACAUAGUAUUUAUUACAACUAUUAAAAUAUACAAUAUUUUAAUUAUAAUAUUUUAAAUAUUUGAUGAUGAAAUUAAUUUAGAUAAGAUCAUAUUAAUUUCCAGUUUGGUGAUAAUCAUGGUAAUAGUUUACUAUAGUAACAUAAUAAAUUAUAUAUUAUAAUUAUACCAUAAUAUUACUUUCAACUAGAUCAUGUGGAUAUUUAUGGUUUAUUCCCAUAACUAUAAUAUCACUAUCACGAUAUUGUAUAAUCAUCUAUAAUACUUAAUCCCUACUAUUGAAUUGUUAAUCUUGAUAAUCAUCAUAUAAUCAUUGAAAUUUCAAUCACAUUAGGCGAAAAAAUAAAUUACUAUAAUAAUUUCAUAAACCCGUGGAAUCCACUUAAUAUUAAAUGAGAUAUUAACUCAAAUUGUUAUAAUACAUUUCCUUUAAUCUAUUACAAAGUAUUAACAUACAAUAUUACCCAUAUUAUCAUGAUUCUAUCAUACUUCUUUCAGCAUAUGAAUUUAGACUAUUAAGAUAUUAAGUGAUAUUUUAUUUGUAUGCGAUCAUAUGUCUUUUACAUAUUCUGUAUUUGAGUUAUACAUAAUAGAAUGAGAAUAAGAAUCAACUUCAAUAAUAGAAGUCAAAAUCAAAUUACUUGAUAACUAUAGUGCAUGUAAUAUUUAAUUUAGCAUACAAUAUAGUUCUGAAGUUGGUUUUUAUUCAGUCAGAAGACUUCAGUAUCGAGACGAAAUCUGGUAUUGAUAUAAAUCAUAUAAGGAACAAAUAUACAAGUAUUGGUAUUUGUAUAAACGUUUAACUUUCAGAAUUAUACUAAUAUACUAUAUAAUAAUAUUAAAGUUGAUAUAUGUAGUACUUACCAAUAUGUGAUUAAUACAAAAGUUUGUACAUUUAAAAUAUGUUAUCGCACUUUCGCAUCAGGCGAUACCAGCUUAUCGUGUUUGGAGAUAUGACAAUUUCUUCAAGAUUCUAAUCAAACUAAAAUGAAUCAAGAUGUAAUAAGCUUGAUUUAGACACAAAAAUUAUUGGAGAAUCACAAUGAAGUUGAAUCAAUAUCAUAGGAGUUAAAAUGAACAAAUUAUCCUACUUUCAACUAAAGUGAUUUCAACUUACACUGUUUGGUUAACAAUUUAAUUGUGAUUAUACAACAUAAUCAACAACUCGUAAUAAUAGUAUUCAAGUUAAUGGUAUAAAAGUAUGAAAAUUAUCAUUUUAUGUUAUUACACUUUGAAUAUUAUCCCACUUAUGAUUAUUAUUAUGAACAUUUAUUGAGAUCACAUCAAUGUAGAAGUUAUGUUUUUACACACCUUCUACACUUAUAAGUUUAUGAUUUAUAUGAUCUAUUACUACAUUUCUUUUAGUAAAGUUAAUUUUGAUUAAACAUUUAUGUGUCAUGACAUUAUAUAUAUAAGUAUCAAUAAGAUCAUAAGAAUAUAUUACCUUUAGGAGUUAUGAUAAAAAAGUUAUCAUAUACUUUCAAUUGAUGUGAUUCCAACUUAACAUGUUUGCAGAUAGGGAAAUUUCUUUGAUUAUAAUCAACCCAUAAUGAGUCACAAUAAAUAACUUAAAUAUGUUUAUAAACUGUUUCCUAUAAACAACUGAUUGUUCAACUCCUAAAUUUUGGAGAACAUCAUUAAAUCAAUUCAGAUAUUUUCAUAAUUCAUUAUCCACAAUUUAGUCAAAAUUAUCUUUCUAUGAUUAUUAUAAUUAAUUGUUACCAACAUAUAAUAUUAAUAGUAAAAAUCUUAUAAAUGUUCUCAUUAUAGUAUAUAAUAUUCAAUACUAUGUAUUUUAAUUAGCACUCAUAUCUUCUAAAUAUUGUACACUAUUAUCUAAAUAAUAUUAAUUGUAAUGAAUGAUUAUAUAUUGAUAAUUAGGUAAUUAUAUAUAUAUAUAUACAUAACGUUUUCAAGAAUUGAAUACAUAAUUAGAGUGUUAACAAUAUCAAAUACAUGUAUUAGUUUGACUUCAAUCUACCUAGUGGCGAAGAUAAAUUUUUGGUUAAAAAACACUUUUGUAGAGGAUUUAGAUUUUCUUUUAAAAUUUCUAAUUUUCCUGCAGGUUAAUAAUCUUAGGCAUGGAUUGCAAUUGUUCGCUUCAAACAAACCUAUAACUAAAAUUUCAACAGGAGGAUCAAGUUCUUUAUAGUUUAUAAGUUGAUGUUUUCUAUUCCUUACUUCAUUAAAAAUCUGUUACAAAUGAGCAAUUUGUUUUGGUUAUUAUGUUGAUAUGAAAUUAGAACACUAGAGGAUUUUCAACCUCUCCACUUGCUUUUAUUUUUUGGAGAUCCAGUUUCAGGUUUUUUUUCUUCUUUUGCUACUUUUUUUGUAAAAAAGACAAUCUUAUGUUUUACUCAAGGGCAUUUUUUCUACCAUUAAAAAGUCAUUUCGUAUAUAAUAUCAUCUUUUUGUUGGUAAUUGUUUUCAUAAAACAAAAAAGUUAACAAUCUCUUUUGAUUCCCACAAAGGUAGAAAGUAUAGUUUCAUCAUUAUUAUUGAGGUUAUAGGCUAUGGAUAUGUAUGGUGGAAGGUAAUAAUAUUUCACCAUGUUUGAGCUACUUAAAAUUGUUACAUCCUCGUUUGAAGUGCUGUAAAAAUACUUUUUUCUUACUCAAGAUCAUUAAAUAUUACAGAUAAUAAACUAGAAACAGAUUUAUACAAAAAAUAAUAAAAAAAUCCACCUUAUAAAAUCGUGCGAGAACAAAAAAUUACAAUAAAAUCAAACUACUAUAUUAAAUUAUCUGCAAGACUGUAACCCACCAACUACUAACUGAAACAUGAAAAUAAUACAAAGCAAUGCCAACUUUGGGUAAUAACAAAAUCGCUAAAACCAUUCUUAAAAGGAUUCACGACAAAUCUUGAAUUUCAGAGUAAAAGAUCACGACAAAUCUUUAAUUUCAGUAAUAAAAUAAAAUAUUUAAUUCUUAAAAUAUUAUUUCUAUUAAGAUCACGACAGAUCAUAACAAAAUCGCUAAAAAAAAUCAUAUAAUAAAAUAUUUAAUUCUAACUUAAACAUUAAGCAGAGUCAUCUUUUUGUUCUUGCAAAACCAAAACACUACAAAAAUAAAUAAGAAUCAGUCCUUUUCCAUUGGCACUUCAGACAUGUCAAGCCUAUCUUCUUUAAUCCUAUUGUUGAGAAGGUAAACAGCAUUCAAGAAGAUAACAUAACAUAACUCAUAUGAAAAAUAAUUGAAAAAAGAAUUAACAAGAUAUAAAAGGUUACAAUUAGUCAACAUAGGAUCAUCUCUCUCUCCAUGGUUUCUGCUAAUCCGAAGCUCUCUCACAAUCUCUGGAGUAACCUACAAAUAACAUCAACAACCUAAUAAGUAGUGAUUCACAAUACAAUACAAAGAUAAUCUUUAAUUUUUAAAAGGUCGAGAAAAUGUCCUACAAGAUGGUGUUUUUGCCUCUUGACACUACAAAAAAAGUCUACAUUGAUAGCACAUUUUUAUAGCACGUUUUACUAAAUUGCUAUUGUAGAUAAUUAAGAAAUUUUCAUAUUAUAUCAUAGCGUUAGAUAAAUGCUAUAAUAUAAUUAAACGCUACGAUAAAGUUUCAACAAGCUGGAACCUAAAACUAAAUUUUACCUUAAUGAAAAUCACUAAACUAAUCAUUAUCCUUCUCCUUACUCUCAUUUUCCCACCCUCAACUCUCACCUAAACCACCUAAACCCUAUCUUUGUUAUUCCCUUUCCUUUCUAGGGUCUGAGUCUGAGACACGAGUGCACAAAAAAAGAAAAAAAAAAAGGGUCUGAGACAUGAGAGACAGAAGAGAAGGGAGAAGAGACGAAACAGGGAUAGAGAGGAGACAGAGCUCGGGUGUGUCUUGCUUCGUCUCCGAUAAGCAGAGCUUGGGUUGGGUCGGGUCUUGCUUUGUCUCCGCCGUUUUCGCCUCUGCUUCAUAGAUCCGCCGUAUUCGAGAUCCGUCGCCGCUUGUACCUUUCUUCAAAACUCGUCUCGAGAGAAGAGAAGGCAGAAGACGGAGUCGUCUUCUCGAAUCACUCUUCCCUCGUCAAUGGAGACUGACAACUCUCACUCUCAUUCCUCUCCUCAGGAGCUGUGUCUUAGAUCGCAGAGGAAGUUCGUUCUAAAGCUCUGUUGUAUUGCAAGAUGUGGCAGUAGUAGUCACGAACUCAAAACCGGCUGAGAAAUGCUAAGAUAAGACUUUUAUCAAUUCCAUCAUAAGAAGCAGACAAGCUUGCAACGUAGCGUAAUGGGGAGGAAACAGGAGUCAACAGUUAGUAUCACGGUGGUUGGAGCAUCUGGUGAUCUUGCUAAGAAGAAAAUAUUCCCAGCCUGUGAAUUUCUUCUUGUGAGAUUUUUUUUCCCAGUGGUGUUUACAAUGAAUAUCAGAAUAUGGUCGUUGCUCCUGUAGUUUACUGCAAGAAGGUUACUGAGACUUCCAAAACGGCGAGUGCAUUGUUGAUUAAUGCAUGGCAGAUUCUGGCAUUCUGCUGCUAUUGCAAUCAUGAAAACUGAUCUUAUUGGAGGAACCACAAUUUGAGUUGGAGGUAUGGGAAAAGGCUCUGGGAUGAUCACAGUAGAUGGUGACAUGAGUACCAACGGCACAGUCAUUGCUUUGGCGAGCGGACUAUUGGAUCACCUUUUAUAUAUUCUUUGAACUGUAAGGAAGCUGCACAGCUUCAGGCAUGCCUUGAUGCGGUAUGUAUGUCCUUGCCAUCUUUCUAACAGUUGUUCAUAAGAUGGACUUAACAUGGAACUCUUAAACGUAAUUUACUCUCAGGUGAUGCAAUGACUUGCCAAAUCAAUAGCUUGGGAUGGUGAAGGCAGUAACAUGUCUGAUAUUGAUAACGAUUUGAUGUUUCAGAUUCUUUGCAGUUCUUUACUUAUGAGGUGUGUUCUUGUGUUUUCAGGUCUGUUGUUUUGUGUGCUCGUUACUGGUGUCAUAACGGAUGCUAUUAGGGAUGCUGUAAGUCGGCCUCGUCCUGGCUUCUUUUGGCGUUGUUUCCUUGAUGGUAGAGGGUUCUUUGACAAUGUCAAAAAGGAUGUUCUGUGUAUUGGAGAUAAAGACGUGGUCAAGGAGGGACACAAGAGCUUCCCCAACCCCACACGUCUUGUUAGUUUUUUAUCUUUUUGGGUCUGUUGUGCCAUGAGACAACUUAUCUAAUCGUGUAAUUCAAUGUCAUUAGGAUAAGGGUUCUCUGUAUUUUCAGGAAGAGGAAGAUGAGGUUUUCUGUUAUAUUAGUUGGCCUUUGUAUGUAAUUGCUUGCAGGGUUAGAGGCACGGAUGGGUUAAGGCACGGGUGGGAGUUGUAAUAUGUAUUGCAAGUUGAUGUAUAUUUUAGAUGAUAUAAGAAAUAAUAUAUGUUUUAUAAAAUGAAUGAAAUAUAAACUUUUAUUUAUAGAUCUGUUGUUUGUGAGAAAUCUUUAUUUAAUAUUUCAUCAUAAAAUUCAAAGACAACAUAACAAGAAUAUGAUUAAAAAAAAAA